CUUUGACCAUACAGCAUGUAUCAGACCCUGUAAACGCCCAGGGGGGCCCAGCAUGGUUCUCAUUGUCCACAGGACCAGACACCGUUGGGGCCAGGAGGGCAUUGGCCAGUUCUUCUCUUUGUCCCAAAAGAUUCAGACCUGUAGUUUGAAGCACAAGUUCCUGUGCAUUGUGGUCCGUGGGAACAUAUUCAUUUUGCCUGUUUGUAGGAGGGAGAGCAUUGAAGAAAGGCUAGUGAUGAUGAUGAUGAUGAUGAUGAUGAUGAUGAAGAUGACGACGACAAUGACUGUCAGCAUGCCCGAGCAGUUUUUAUGGCCAAGCUGAGCUGAGUGCUGUGUUCACACACUGUGUUGUUGAAAUUCUCUCAACAGCUCAGAAGGCAGACACAGCCGCCUGGAACGUGAACUCCAUGAAAGCAGGACUUUUUUUUACCACUACAUCCAAUCAUCUAGAACAAGGCCUAGCAUUCAGUAGAACUCAAUAAAUAUUUGUCUUACAAAAGGGA